UGCCAGACUCCUACGGGAGGCAGCAGUGGGGGAUAUUGGACAAUGGGGGGAACCCUGAUCCAGCGACGCCGCGUGAGUGAAGAAGUAUUUCGGUAUGUAAAGCUCUGUCAGCAGGGAAGAAAGAAAUGACGGUACCUGACCAAGAAGCCCCGGCUAACUACGUGCCAGCAGCCGCGGUAAUACGUAGGGGGCAAGCGUUAUCCGGAAUUACUGGGUGUAAAGGGAGCGUAGACGGCGAGGUAAGCCUGAAGUGGAAGCCCGCGGCGCAACCGCGGAACUGCUUUGGGAACUGUUUUGCUGGGGUAUGGGAGGGGUAAGCGGAAUUCCUGGUGUAGCGGUGAAAUGCGUAGAUAUCAGGAGGAACACCGGUGGCGAAGGCGGCUUACUGGACCAUAACUGACGUUGAAGCUCGAAAGCGUGGGGAGCAAACAGGAUUAGAUACCCGCGUACA
rnacentral:rRNA from 1 species